rnacentral:rRNA from 1 species
CCUACGGGUGGCAGCAGUGGGGAAUAUUGCACAAUGGGCGCAAGCCUGAUGCAGCCAUGCCGCGUGUGUGAAGAAGGCCUUCGGGUUGUAAAGCACUUUCAGCGGGGAGGAAGGCGUUAAGGUUAAUAACCUUGUCGAUUGACGUUACCCGCAGAAGAAGCACCGGCUAACUCCGUGCCAGCAGCCGCGGUAAUACGGAGGGUGCAAGCGUUAAUCGGAAUUACUGGGCGUAAAGCGCACGCAGGCGGUCUGUCAAGUCGGAUGUGAAAUCCCCGGGCUCAACCUGGGAACUGCAUUCGAAACUGGCAGGCUAGAGUCUUGUAGAGGGGGGUAGAAUUCCAGGUGUAGCGGUGAAAUGCGUAGAGAUCGGGAGGAAUACCGGUGGCGAAGGCGGCCCCCUGGACAAAGACUGACGCUCAGGUGCGAAAGCGUGGGGAGCAAACAGGAUUAGAUACCCGUGUAGUC